AGGAUGCGAUAUGCCGAGGUGAUGCUCGGGGUCUCGCUGAGUUCUUAAUAAUCAUUACAAAGUAAGUUCCUUAAGGGUGUACAGGAGGCUGUUCAGGGCAUUGAUGGGGGAGGGGAUGACGUAGAGUCAAAUGGCCCGGCAAGUUCUCCGUUUCUCAAAGCCUCAGUUUCCUCCCAGGACAAUGGAUGUGAGGAUGCCUAUCUCGUGUACCUUUCUGUACAGGGCCCGCACUGCCCGCAUGCAGGAAUGCUGGCGUUAUUUCAUUCCUACUACAGCUGCGUCCCAGCAUGUAGGGCAGUGCUUGCACGUAGCAGCUGGUGCCUAACCAGUGUUUGCUGAAAGAAUGUGUGACCGCGUGCUCAAGCUCA
rnacentral:lncRNA from 10 species